rnacentral:rRNA from 1 species
GUUGUAAAUAGUCUAGCCUGCCCACUGAUAUAUAAUUGAAGGGCCGCGGUAUUCUGACCGUGCAAAGGUAGCAUAAUCAUUAGUCUCCUAAUUAGAGGCUUGUAUGAAUGGUUGGACAAAGUGGAAGCUGUCUUCAUAUUAGAUUUAGAAUUUAACUUUUAAGUGAAAAGGCUUAAAUAGUUCAAGGGGACGAUAAGACCCUAUAAAGCUUUAUAUGGAAGUAGUUAAAGCUGAUUUAUGAAUAUUUAAAAAUGUUAAUUGCAGUAGUAUUGUGUUGGGGCGACUAAGGUAUAAGUAUUAUAACUGUUUUUGAUUGUCACAUUUAUAUAUGGGUUGAAAUAGUAAAUGAUCCUGUUUAGAGAUUAUAAGAUUAAGUUACUUUAGGGAUAACAGCGUUAUUCUUUUUGAGAGUUCUUAUCAAAAAAAGAGUUUGCGACCUCGAUGUUGAAUUAAAAUUUCUUUACAGUGCAGCAGCUGUAGGAGAGGGUCUGUUCGACCUUUAAAUUUUUACAUGAUUUGAGUUCAGACCGGCGUGAGCCAGGU